GUAGGGUGCUAACGUUGUUCGGAAUCACUGGGCAUAAAGAGCGCGUAGGCAGUCUGAUAAGUCAGGUGUGAAAUCCCCCGGCUCAACCGGGGAACUGCACCUGAUACUGUUGGGCUUGAGUGCAGGAGGGGAGAGCGGAAUUCCUGGUGGAGCGGUGAAAUGCGUAGAUAUCAGGAGGAACGCCGGCGGCGAAAGCGGCUCUCUGGCCUGUUACUGACGCUGAGGCGCGAAAGCUAGGGGAGCAAACGGGAUUAGAUACCCCGGUAGUCCUAGCCCUAAACGAUGGGUACUAAGUAGAGGAAAUUCCGAUAUUUUCUCUGCCGGAGCUAAUGUAUUAAGUACCCCGCCUGGGGAGUAUGGUCGCAAGGCUAAA
rnacentral:rRNA from 1 species